rnacentral:rRNA from 1 species
CUUGGUCAUUUAGAGGAAGUAAAAGUCGUAACAAGGUCUCCGUUGGUGAACCAGCGGAGGGAUCAUUAUCGAGUUAUUCAACUCCCAAACCCUAUGUGAACUUACCACUUGUUGCUUCGGCGCGCGCUUCGGCGCCGCCGAGGACACUUAAACUCUUUGUUUUUAUAAGCAUUUCUGAGUGGCCGAAAGGCAAAAAUACAAAUGAAUCAAAACUUUCAACAACGGAUCUCUUGGUUCUGGCAUCGAUGAAGAACGCAGCGAAAUGCGAUAAGUAAUGUGAAUUGCAGAAUUCAGUGAAUCAUCGAAUCUUUGAACGCACAUUGCGCCCGCCAGCAUUCUGGCGGGCAUGCCUGUUCGAGCGUCAUUUCAACCCUCGAGCCCGACUCUUUUGAGGACGGCUCGGCGUUGGGGGACGGCAGACUCCCCCCGGCAUCUCGCCGGGGACGCCGCCCCCGAAAUCUAGUGGCGGCCCUCCGAGGCGACCUCUGCGUAGUAACUUGUUCUCGCACCGGAAAGCUCAGAGCGGCCACGCCGUAAAACCCCAACUUUUUUCAGGUUGACCUCGAAUCAGGUAGGACU